UUGUUUUCUCUUUCUUCCAUUCCAUUCCAUUUUUUCCUCGCCCUAUUUGUUCAUCUUUUCCUUUUCCGUUUAUGAGCAAUUUAAGAUCAUGAAAACUUCAAUUUUGCAGGAAGAUUGUUGUGCGCUCCAAUGGUGACCUUUUUUCGUUUAUACAGCUGCUGCUGUCUUUCUUGUACCAUUUUUGGAGAUGAAGGGAAAUUUCCUGAGGAAGCAGAGGAAUAGGAUGUGGAAGAGUAUAUAAACAGAACCGAAUGAGUUUGGGAGAACGAAGUAGUUUGCUCCAAGCCUGUACAUCUACUUCUGAGAAGAUGGUUUGGACUUAAACACCUUUACUAGAAAAUUUAAAGAGAUAUACAUGCAACGGCUUCUACUGGCACUACUACUGCCCAAAUAAGGCUUAUAAAUCCAAGAUGUGGACAGAAGCUUGAACUAGCUGGUCAGUAAUUACUUUUUUUUUUAUAGGGAGACACGUAAUUCUUGGAGUUUCAUGACAGGAAAGUGACUCUAUUUUUAUCUAUUUUUUUCAAGUUUACUGAAUUCAGAGGUGUAGUAACUUACCAUCCGACUGAAGACUUGGCUUUUUCUCUUGCAGAAUUUAUUGAAAAAGGGGCUUUUUAAUUAACUAUUACAUGUUUCUUCUCUUUAUGGCAAUAUCAUGGAGGAACAAACUUUGGCAGGAUAGCUGGUGUACAAUUUAUUACCGCUAGCUAUGAUUAUGAUGCUCCUCUUCAUGAAUAUGGGACGAUGAAAAUCUUUUAUUGAGUUAUUGAUGGCGAAAUGCAUAGAGGUAAAUUCAAACCCUUAUCUUGGCUGGGCAACCCAGAUGGCUUCUGGGAUGAGAUGGAAUUCAUUCACAUAUGUAACUGGGAAUUUGUAGCCAUAGUGGUGCCUCCCUCCAUUUUGCCUUCUCUUUUUACAGAUUUGAGCCUGAUUGAUCAUUGUGUGUAUCCUCUCUAUAGCUUUUAAUUACUCGAUUGUUUUUGUUCCGGUCUUGCGGUAUGUUGAUUUAUUGUUGGAUGAAUUCCAUUGGAAACAAUACAUUGAUAGACCUUGAAACAUCAAUUUCAUUAAGCCAAGGGGGACCCAGAAAUUUGAUGCAGCAAUUAUAUUUUAUGAAACAUUAAUUUUGCCGUUUACUGCAUUGUCAUGUUAGUGACUAUCGUGGUUAGGACCAAAGACCAGUUAAAGAGUACUUUCUCAGCUCUUACUGUCUUGGUACUAAUUUUUCACAUGUUUUGGGGAUCAAUAAGUAGAAUCUGCAGUCAAUCAUCAUUUGUUUGAUAUAAUUUGGUUUUUGUUUCAAUUUUGGAUAUAGGAAGUUGAUGCUGGUCAUGCACUGAUUAAUUUCUGGCAUAGAUAAGCACUUCUAAGUUCCAUAGCUUGGUUCUUUGAAAGGGGAUUAUUCACUAGACAGACCCUAACUGCAGUGAUAGAGACUUUUAACAUAUCUCACUCUUCAAUUAUUUUGCAGCUAUCUUUGUUAUAUUUGUUUCUCUGGUUUUGCGCAUGGACAUGGACUUUAAUUACCCUGCUGUUAUAAUGGUUUGCUUCAAUGGGCAUUGCAUGAACAUUUCUGAGGGCACUUUGGGCUUUUAACGCUACAACUUCUGGUUAACUUCAAAUAUCAGGUGUACUUUGUUUCUCCUCUUCCCCUCUCCCGAGAGCUGUGUUCCAGGAUUUUGGUAGCAUUUUCAAUUUUGAAGAAUGAUAGAGCAAUUAUUAGGCAUAUUUUGCACUAUUAUUCUGUCAUAAUUUUGGCUACUCAUGAUGCUAAGAAUUGAGAAUUUGCUCAUAUUUGAUAUUUGUGUAAAUUGCAGGUGGUUGGUGUUAAAAGUGAUCGCGUGAGACAAAUUUCCAGAAGACUCUUUAUUUCAGGACGUGCCCACGCUAGAAAUUGUAGGAGGUUACCCAAAAGCCGGACCCGCGGGAUUAACAGCAGCAUAACCAAUUAAGGAAUCGGGUCCACGUGAACUGCGAGAAGCAUGGGAUUAAAACCGCAAAAGAGAAAAGCUUUGCUUCUGACUCUUUGUGGGCUUCUAUUGGCGACGGCUUCAAAAAGAAGAGGUCACCCAUAGCCAACGGAAUCCGCUUCUGGUGAGAACGAGUAAAAGUGGGUACCACGUUAAUUAUGAGUGGAUUAAGCGCUUAUUUUGUGUACGGUGGGUUUCAACGAAGAAUGAUACAUCCAGAUCGCCGGCGCCGGGCAGUGCAGACGAAAGCAGAGACCGAACGCAGAAAUAAGAAAUUCAGUAAUUUGAGGCUUGAUUUGAAGGCCAAAUUCGUACCAGGGCAACCGUCAGAUUUGGCAGUCAAUCUACCAGCCGCAAGAAUUUGAAUUUGCUGAUUUAUGAUCUGGUCUGAGGUCCGUGCAUGUCAUGACCUUUUGACAGUGACAAAGCACCAGUAAAUGCCCAACAAGCGAAGGAGAUCACUGUCCGGUCCAACUACUUCGCCCCGUCUUUCCGAAGCUUCAUCUGUCCAUUCCGUCACAGACUCGAACGACUACAUCCAGUCCCUUGUCAACUACUUCAAAAUGUCACGUGACCCCAACGCUGCGAAGGCCCAUUGGGAUGCAAAUAUGGAGAUUCAUUUUUGUAUGACAUUCGUCGAGUGAAAAAGGAAUGGGGAGUGGAAUCCAAACAUUUCAUCUGAGGCCAAUUGGAUGAAGCUUGCUGCGCAUCUGAAUUUGCAGUGGGGGAAGCAGUACGCAUGGAGUGUGUACCAUUCUAAAUUCGGACGAGAGAAGAGGAUUUGGCGUGCCUUUGCCAAGUUAAAGGGUCUGCGCCAAUCUGCCGAAACUGGUAUUAGUUGGGACGAGAAUAGGAGGUGCUUCUUGGCUGAAGAGUCUCAAUGGAACAAUUUGUGCCUGGAGAAUAAUGAUUAUAGGUACUUUAGAUUCGGGCAAUGCGUCGACAAAUAUACAAUCCUGCACGAGAUCUUAGAAACAGAAACCGCCACAGGGAGUCAAGCUCAAGCCUCUUCAAUUCCGUCUUCAGUUUACAAUCCACGCAAGCGAGCUAGGCAUAGUCGUGGGUAGACUUUCACUUCGCCCCGUUGGUGAUGAUAUAUACAACGCGGGCAUGGAUGGGGAUUUCAACGAGGAAGCUCCAGUUGUAGGAGUGAAGCGAGGUUCAAGCAGUCAAGGGGCGACAACCUCGCUCCCAAGUGCAUCCCGGGGAGCAAGUCAAGUCGAAGUACCAACGAUCCAUUCGUCAAGUGUGCCAACUCCCUCUCCUCCCUAGCGAAUUCUAAAUUACACAUCAAGGGUCGCCGAGCAUCUGACAAGGAGAAAUUUGAUGUCGAUAUGGCAGCCCAGGUCGUCGAAUCAUUUGGACCAUCGCUCGAUAAAGGGGCUAAGCUCGCUGCAGUUUUGGCACUCCAGGACGACAAGUGGCGGAAGACGUUCCUCAGUCUCAGUCGCGAGAUGCAAGAGUUCUGGUUGUACUCUUUGGAGAGUGCACCUCAGCGGGGACCCGAUGGAAAGUAGUUGAGACUUGGGAUUGUUUCUUGGGUUCUCAAUUUGUAAGACAUUGAGUUGGGACUUUUAGUUCAUUUGUAUGAGGCUUCAAAAUUAGUGCCUUGCCCAAGCUUGUAGCAAUAAUUACUCGCUGUAUCUUUUAUGUUUCCAGAAGUUAUUUGGACAGGCCUGUUUGGUUUAAAACUUUGGCUUUGUAA